AACGAACGCUGGCGGCGUGCCUAACACAUGCAAGUCGAACGCGACCUUCGGGUCUUGCGGUGCACGGGUGCGUACCGCGGGGGAACCUGCCCUUAGGUUCGCAAUAACUCCCCGAAGGGGGUGCUAAUGCCGCAUAAUGUCUUCGGACCAAAGAUUUAUCGCCUUUGGAUGGUCCCGCGUUGGAUUCGCUAGUUGGUAUGGUAAAAGCCUACCAAGGCGACGAUCCAUAGCUGGUCUGAGAGGAUGAUCAGCCACACUGGGAGUGAGACACGGACCAGACUCCUACGGGAGGCAGCAGGGGGGAACAUUGGACACUGGGCGAAAGCAUGAUCCAGCAAGGCCGCGAGGGUGAGGAAGGACUUAGGGUUGUAAGGGUCUGUUGACCGUGAUGAUAAUGACAGUACCGGGAGAAAAAGCGCCGGCUAACUACGUG
rnacentral:rRNA from 1 species